CUAGAUAGCUCAGUUGGGAGAGCGUCAGACUGAAGAUCUAAAGGCCCUGUGUUCGAUU
rnacentral:tRNA from 14 species